rnacentral:rRNA from 1 species
CCUACGGGAGGCAGCAGUGGGGAAUAUUGUGCAAUGGGCGCAAGCCUGACCCAGCAACGCCGCGUGAAGGAAGAAGGCUUUCGGGUUGUAAACUUCUUUUCUCAGGGACGAAGCAAGUGACGGUACCUGAGGACUAAGCCACGGCUAACUACGUGCCAGCAGCCGCGGUAAUACGUAGGUGGCAAGCGUUAUCCGGAUUUACUGGGUGUAAGGGGCGUGUAGGCGGGCGUGCAAGUCAGAUGUGAAAACCACGGGCUCAACCUGUGGCCUGCAUUUGAAACUGUAGUGCUUGAGUGCUGGAGAGGCAGACGGAAUUCGUGGUGUAGCGGUGAAAUGCGUAGAUAUCAGGAGGAACACCGGUGGCGAAGGCAGCCUGCUGGACAGCGACUGACGCUGAGGCGCGAAAGCGUGGGGAGCAAACAGGAUUAGAUACCCUAGUAGUC